UACGGGGGGGGCAAGCGUUGUUCGGAAUUACUGGGCGUAAAGGGCUCGUAGGCGGCCAACUAAGUCCGACGUGAAAUCCCAAGGCUUAACCUUGGAACUGCGUCGGAUACUGGAUGGCUUGAAUUCGGGAGAGGGAUGCAGAAUUCCAGGUGUAGCGGUGAAAUGCGUAGAUAUCUGGAGGAACACCGGUGGCGAAGGCGGCAUCCUGGACCGAGAUUGACGCUGAGGCGCGAAAGCCAGGGGAGCAAACGGG
rnacentral:rRNA from 1 species